UUCAGUCAGUAAUAAUCCCGAAAUUCGUGGCUCUGGAAAAAAUUCCGGGCGCAAAUGGGAUAAAUAUGCUAUUUACUGGUGGCAUUUCCUUAGUUAUAGGACCUAUAAUAGGUGUGAUUCACGAUAAGACUGGUUCGUAUUUUUAUGCAUUACAUGCAUCUACAGUGUUGUCACUUUUAUGCGUGACGCUCUGGAUUGUGGAGUUGAUUUACGAAAAAAGACGAGAUAGAAGUGCCAAAGUAUGACGUUGAUUAUGUCAAUAGGAAUGUUUAGUUUAAUUUAUUUUAUGUUAAAAAUAUUAUAAGAUAUAAAUAUAAAUAAUUUUGUUGAGAUUGAGUGAUAUAAAAAUAAGUACCAGU